rnacentral:rRNA from 1 species
UACAGAGGUCUCAAGCGUUGUUCGGAAUUACUGGGCGUAAAGGGCGCGCAGGCGGCUGCUCAAGUCAGGCGUGAAAGGCCUGGGCUCAACCCGGGAACUGCGUCCGAUACUGGCAGGCUUGAAUCCGGGAGAGGGAUGUGGAAUUCCAGGUGUAGCGGUGAAAUGCGUAGAUAUCCGGAAGAACACCGGUGGCGAAGGCGGCGAGCUGGUCCAUUACUGACG